rnacentral:rRNA from 1 species
AUGUCUGGGAAACAUCCAAGGACUAUUCUGACCGAUGAAGAUGCAGCAAUGGCCAAGGCAAUCAGUAAAGUCCUUCCUCAAUCUCACCAUAGACUUUGUGUGUGGCAUAUGAAUCAAAAUGCUUGCAAGCACCUUGCUGGGGUUGUUGAAGAAUAUAAGAAGUUCAAUGCCGAUUUCCAGCAUUGUAUCUAUGAUAUUGAGGAAGAAGACGAUUUUAUAAAUGAAUGGAAUAGAAUGCUAGACAGGUAUGGACUCCGUGACAAUAUGUGGUUGCAAAGGCUGUUUGAGAAAAGGGAGCAAUGGGCACUAGUGUAUGGCAGAAAUACAUCCUCAGCCCACAUGAGCACUACCCAAAGAAGUGAAAGCAUGAAUAAUGAACUAAAGCAGUACAUUAGUAUUAAAUAUGACAUGCUUACAUUUUUUGAGCAUUUUGAGCGUCUAGUUGCGGAUAAAAGAUUUGUAGAGGUGAAGUGUGACUUAAAGGCGUCACAAACUACUCCCAAGUUGAAGGCGGAAGGUAGCUAUAAGUUAAGGCAAGCCGCAACUACAUAUACUCCCGCAAUAUUCAAGAUGUUUUAG